rnacentral:rRNA from 1 species
GUGGGGAAUAUUGCACAAUGGGCGAAAGCCUGAUGCAGCGACGCCGCGUGAGGGAUGACGGCCUUCGGGUUGUAAACCUCUUUCAGCAGGGAAGAAGGCCUUCGGGUGGACGGUACCUGCAGAAGAAGCGCCGGCUAACUACGUGCCAGCAGCCGCGGUAAUACGUAGGGCGCAAGCGUUGUCCGGAAUUAUUGGGCGUAAAGAGCUCGUAGGCGGUCUGUCGCGUCUGGUGUGAAAUCCCGAGGCUCAACCUCGGGCUUGCAUCGGGUACGGGCAGACUAGAGUACUGUAGGGGAGACUGGAAUUCCUGGUGUAGCGGUGGAAUGCGCAGAUAUCAGGAGGAACACCGAUGGCGAAGGCAGGUCUCUGGGCAGUUACUGACGCUGAGGAGCGAAAGCAUGGGGAGCGAACAGGAUUAGAAACCCUAGUAGUCC